UUUUCUUGUGGAAGUAUAGAAGCCGCAUUCCGUUUUUUGGGCAUCAGGAGGCGGCAGAAACCAGUGAUGCAACCGGCCACAUUUUGA
rnacentral:ncRNA from 18 species